GGAUGUGAAGAGACUUUCAACCAGCAUAACAAAAAAUGUUUCUGAAGACAAUCACCUAUUGCACCUUUAAAACAAGGUUUGUCUAUAUAUUCUUAAGGGAUUUGAACGAAUAGCCAAAUAGCUAUAUGGAAUCAAAUCAAAAAUCAAUUGAAUUAAUGUAGAACCUACUGUAUUGUCUAUGAAGCAAAAAAGCUCAAAUAAACUAGACAACAAGAUGAUCAACAUUUUUAUAUUUAUAUUUCUUUGUAGAUGGAUAUACAACAUUUUUUUUUCAUGUCACAUGGGAGUAGGUCUGCAAAUGAGCAGCAGUCAGAAAAGUCAGUGCAAAAAGAGAGUGAAGUCAAGGCAGAGCACAUUGAAGAAAGCACAGUAGAGAAAAGGCAAGAUCAUGAUCCAGGUAAGAAAGUGAACAGAGUUGGUUUGGAUAAAGUGUCUUGUAAGUUAAAAAAUCCAAAUGAUGUUAAUAUUUCUAAGUUACCUUUUACAUGAUUGUCACAGUACAGGGACAGAGAAAGCAUGAAGCAGAAGAAGACACGAGUCAGGAGAGAGAUGGAUACAUAUGCAGAGAAGCAAGUUUAAAGUUAUGUUCUUUCUUGUUUAAAUUGUUCUGUUUGUACUUGAGCAUAGAGGUUUGUGCUAAAUGCAAACAGUAAAAUGUUGUAUGUACAGUGAACAGGUGUGUGUGACUGAGUGUGUGCGAGUGAGAGAGAUCAGGAAGACUUGUAUUUGGCUUAUUCAGAACUCAAAAUGUUAUACCCAUUUAUGUAAUACAAUGGAAAACUGGAAUAAGUUUUAAUAUACCACCAUAUGUAAAUCAAGCUUUUUUAAAUUAUUAUUAUUAUUAUACCCUUAAUGGGGGCUGAGCACCCCUAAAAUGAAAAUCCUACAAUCACCCCUGGUUUGGUUAAUAUCAUUGCUGUUAAAAUAAGUUACAGACGCUUCGAGUCCACAUGAAGUUUGGUCAAAAUUAUAUGCAACGUGAAGCCAUUCUGUAGUAGAGUUUGUUCUACAUGCCACUAUUUCUCAUACUGUACUAGAGUCAGAGUUUAUUUAAAUAAUUCUUCAGUAGAGGGCACCAUGAUAUCAGCUUGUCAAACAGGCUUACUUAAGCACACUGAGCUUAGAAUAUCCAUUUAUCUCAAUUGUGUUUGCUUGGUUAGCACAGAUAAACAACAGUUUUUGAUACUAUCACUUGGGCUGUAUUAUCUGAUCAAUCACGUGAUGACGAUGCUAAUAGGCUGAUGGAGCCAAAAAAUGGGCACUGUAUCUUAUCUAGCAAAGAGCCUUGGCAUGAAAGGCACCAGACUGGUUCAUUUCAUACUUUUAAGAUCUAUCAAAACAAAAUUGGGCA
rnacentral:lncRNA from 1 species